UUGAACGCUGGCGGCAGGCUUAACACAUGCCAGUCGCGCGGGGGAAGGUAGCUUGCUCCCGGACCUAGCGGCGGACGGGUGAGUAAUGCUUAGGAAUCUGCCUAUUAGUGGGGGACAACAUCUCGAAAGGGAUGCUAAUACCGCAUACGUCCUACGGGAGAAAGCAGGGGAUCUUCGGACCUUGCGCUAAUAGAUGAGCCUAAGUCGGAUUAGCUAGUUGGUGGGGUAAAGGCCUACCAAGGCGACGAUCUGUAGCGGGUCUGAGAGGAUGAUCCGCCACACUGGGACUGAGACACGGCCCAGACUCCUACGGGAGGCAGCAGUGGGGAAUAUUGGACAAUGGGGGGAACCCUGAUCCAGCCAUGCCGCGUGUGUGAAGAAGGCCUUAUGGUUGUAAAGCACUUUAAGCGAGGAGGAGGCUACUUUAGUUAAUACCUAGAGAUAGUGGACGUUACUCGCAGAAUAAGCACCGGCUAACUCUGUG
rnacentral:rRNA from 1 species